rnacentral:rRNA from 1 species
AGACAGUUCGGUCCCUAUCUGCCGUGGGCGCUGGAGAAUUGAGGGGGGCUGCUCCUAGUACGAGAGGACCGGAGUGGACGCAUCACUGGUGUUCGGGUUGUUCUGAAUGGAAGGGCCAUCGCUCAACGGAUAAAAGGUACUCCGGGGAUAACAGGCUGAUACCGCCCAAGAGUUCAUAUCGACGGCGGGGUUUGGCACCUCGAUGUCGGCUCAUCACAUCCUGGGGCUGAAGUAGGUCCCAAGGGUAUGGCUGUUCGCCAUUUAAAGUGGUACGCGAGCUGGGUUUAGAACGUCGUGAGACAGUUCGGUCCCUAUCUGCCGUGGGCGCUGGAGAAUUGAGGGGGGCUGCUCCUAGUACGAGAGGACCGGAGUGGACGCAUCACUGGUGUUCGGGUUGUCAUGCCAAUGGCACUGCCCGGUAGCUAAAUGCGGAAGAGAUAAGUGCUGAAAGCAUCUAAGCACGAAACUUGCCCCGAGAUGAGUUCUCCCUGAGACUAUAAGUCUCCUGAAGGAACGUUAAAGACGAUGACGUUGAUAGGCCGGGUGUGUAAGCGCAGCGAUGCGUUGAGCUAACCGGUACUAAUGAACCGUGAGGCUUAACCUUACAACGCCGAAG